rnacentral:SRP_RNA from 2 species
AGCGGGUUGCCUCGCAUGGCGAUUUUGGGCAACGGGUCAGGGGCGGAAGUCAGCAGCCCACCUGAAAAAGCCAGUGCCGAGAUUACAGCUCGCUACC